UACAGAGGGUGCGAGCGUUAAUCGGAAUUACUGGGCGUAAAGCGUGCGUAGACGGUUAUUUAAGUCGGGUGUGAAAGCCCCCGGGGCUCAACCUGGGAAUUGCAUUCGAGACUGAAUAGCUAGGGUACGGUAGAGGGAAGCGGAAUUUCCGGUGUAGCGGUGAAAUGCGUAGAUAUCGGAAGGAACAUCAGUGGUGAAAGCGGCUUCCUGGACCAGUACCGACGUUCAGGCACGAAAGCGUGGGGAGCAAACAGG
rnacentral:rRNA from 1 species